ACGCAACGCGAAGACUUACCAGGCCUUGACAUACUCGGCAAAGCUCUAGAGAUAGAGUGGAGGUUAUUCCGGGAUACAGGUGGUGGCAUGGUUGUCGUCAGCUCGUGUCGUGAGAUGUUGGGUUAAGUCCGCAACGAGCGCAACCCUUGUCUUUAGUUACCAUCAUUCAGUUGGGGACUCUAGAGAGACUGCCGGUGAUAACCGGAGGAAGUGGGGAUGACGUCAAAUCAUCAUGCCCCUUAUGGCCUGGGCUACAAACGUAAUACAAUGGCGUAUACAAAGGGAUGCGAAAGGGUGACCUGGAGCAAAACUCACAAAGUACGUCUCAGUUCAGAUUGGAGUCUGCAACUCGACUCCAUGAAGGCGGAAUCGCUAGUAAUCGCGGAUCAGCAUGCCGCGGUGAAUACGUUCUCGGGGUUU
rnacentral:rRNA from 1 species